rnacentral:rRNA from 1 species
GACGAACGCUGGCGGCGUGCCUAACACAUGCAAGUCGAGCGAUGAAGCCCUUCGGGGUGGAUUAGCGGCGGACGGGUGAGUAACACGUGGGUAACCUGCCUCAAAGAGGGGGAUAGCCUCCCGAAAGGGAGAUUAAUACCGCAUAACAUUAGUUUUUUGCAUGAAGAACUAAUUAAAUGAGUAAUCCGCUGUGAGAUGGACCCGCGGCGCAUUAGCUAGUUGGUGAGGUAAAGGCUCACCAAGGCGACGAUGCGUAGCCGACCUGAGAGGGUGAUCGGCCACAUUGGAACUGAGACACGGUCCAGACUCCUACGGGAGGCAGCAGUGGGGAAUAUUGCACAAUGGGCGAAAGCCUGAUGCAGCAACGCGGCGUGAGUGAUGAAGGCCUUCGGGUUGUAAAGCUCUGUCUUUUGGGACGAUAAUGACGGUACCAAAGGAGGAAGCCACGGCUAACUACGUGCCAGCCGCCGCAGUAAGAC